CACAACUGUGAUGCUUUAUCCUUUGACAUUAAGAAUGCUGUUUGCAGAAGUAACAUUCCUUUGAACACUCAGCUUUCUGAAAUGGUGUCCCACCGCAAGGACUGGAGAAGGGCACCCUUGGAAAUGCAAUGCUACAUCUCAAUGGGAUUUUCCAGUACAAAGAUUCUUUUCAAAUAACAUAAUUGUGGAUACACACCACUCCUACAGUGACACAAAGCAAAUUCGAGCGAUUUUCUUAUUUGAGUUCAAAAUGGGCUGUAAAGCAGUGGAGACAACUCGCAACAUCAACAAUCCAUUUGGCCCAGGAACUGCUAAUGAAUGUACAGUGGAGUGGUGGUUCAAGAAGUCUGGCAAAGGAGAUGAGAGCCUUGAAGAUGAGGAGUGUAGUGGCUGACCAUUGGAAAUUGACAACAACCAAUUAAGAGCGGUCAUCAAAGCUGAUCCUCUUACAAUGACACAAGAAGUUGCCAAAGAACUCAAUGUUGACCAUUCUUUGGUCAUUCAGCAUUUGAAGCAAAUUGGGAAGGUGAAAAAGCUUGAUGAGUGGGUGCCUCAUGAGCUGAGCGAAAAUUUUUUUAAAAAUCAUUGUUUUGAAGCGUUGUCUUCUCUUAUUCUACGCAACAACAGUGAACCAUUUCUCUAUCAGAUUGUGAUGUGCAAGGAAAAGUGGAUUUUAUAUGACAAUUGGUGAUGCCCAGCUCAGUGGUUGGACAGAGAAGAAACUCCAAAGCACUUCCCAAAACCAAACUUGCACCAAAAAAAGGUCAUGGUCACCAUUUGGUGGUCUGCUGCCGGUGUAAUCGACUACAGCUUUCUGAACCCCAGCAAAUCAUUACGUCUGAAAAGUAUGCUCAGCAAAUUGAUGAGAUGUACUGAAAACUGCAAUGCCUGCAGCCGGCAUUGGUCAACAGAAAGGGCCCAACUCUUUACAACAACUCUCGACCACAUGUCGCACAACCAACACUUCAAAAGUUGAAUGAAUUGGGCUAUGAAGUUUUGACUUAUCUGUCAUUCACCUGACCUCCUGCCAACUGACUACCACAUCUUCAAUCAUCUCGACAGAUUUUUGCAGGGAAAAAGCUUCUACGAUCAUCAGGAUGCAGAAAAUGCUUUCCAAGAGUUCAUCAAAUCCCAAAGCAUGGAUUUUUAUGUUACAGGAAUAAACAAACUUAUUUCUCAUUGGUAAAAAUAUGUUGAUUGUAAUGGUUCCUAUUUUGAUUAAUAAAGAUGUGUUUGAGCCUAAUAA
ensembl:lncRNA TEX41 testis expressed 41